rnacentral:rRNA from 1 species
AGCGUAGGCGGACUUUUAAGUGAGAUGUGAAAUACCCGGGCUCGACUUGGGUGCUGCAUUUCAAACUGGAAGUCUAGAGUGCAGGAGAGGAGAGUGGAAUUCCUAGUGUAGCGGUGAAAUGCGUAGAGAUUAGGAAGAACACCAGUGGCGAAGGCGACUCUCUGGACUGUAACUGACGCUGAGGCUCGAAAGCGUGGGGAGCAAACA